rnacentral:lncRNA from 1 species
CUGGAAUGUUAGCAAGCUAUUUGCUGGAAAAAAUGCCCACAACAGGCCUAAUGUUGAUCACAUUAAUGCGUUUGAGUGAGUAUGGAGUGCAAAUGAUUGAAAAUGCUUCCAGAUCCCCGUUGCAAGGGACAAAGCAGGCUCUGUUCUCUGAUCUGAUGGUCAUUUUUUUUUCCAGCGGAGGAUGUGGGGCAGGAAGAGGGAAGAGGGCCAAUCUCUGUCUAAUGGUUCCAAACAGGGCCCGGGCCCGGCCCUCUGGAUGCUGACGAGUGGGAAAUGAAACACAGAUGGGUCAGAUGGGUAAGGAGAGGGGGAUUACAGGUCAGGCCAAAGAGUUGGAAUAAAUUAAGUGCUUAUGAGGUACAGAAUGGCACAUUGUUUAAGUGAAUGGACAGGGAAAAAACAUUCCAGCAUUGUUCAUCCGCCGAGGGAGCCCAACGCUCCUCUUCCCAGACGAGCCCAGGCCACAGAGCGCCUCCUCCUCGCCAGGAUGUUUGUGACCCACAGACUGAAAAUGCGGCCAGGCGGUGCCCGAAACAUUCUCCCAGCCUCCAAAGAGGCCAGUUUGGCUUUAUUACACGGGAGAUGUAAUUUAUUGGGAGAAAUGUUUGGGUUCGUGUGUCGGAUGGUGGAGAGUCAGAUUUGGAGUUCCCUGGGGAUCUCCGAGGAGAAGGAGAAUUCAGGCAAAGCUGUCCAUUCGGUUGGUAACGACACAAGCAGGAGAAUAGGACGGAAAUCCAAUUCUUCUGCUCCCCGGGGUGUGACUCUCAUACUGCAUCGCACAGCUUUCAUUUCGUGAAGAACUUGUGGGUAAGCCUUUCACCAAACCUAGGAAUUCUUUUCAGAGGAAGUCAUCAAUCCCCAAGUACCCAUUACUUCUUCUUUUCUUUUUGUCUUUCAAAACAGGUAACACAGACAGAAACAUGAGGGCUUGGGGCCACGUGGUAGGAAUUUUAUUUCCC